CGUGCCUAACACAUGCAAGUCGAACGAGAAAGCUCCUUCGGGAGUUAGUAGAGUGGCGCACGGGUGAGUAACACGUGGAUAAUCUGCCUGAUAAUCUGGGAUAACAUUUCGAAAGGGAUGCUAAUACCGGAUAAGCCCACAGCCUCUUCGGAGGCAGCGGGAAAAGAUGGCCUCUUCUUGAAAGCUAUUGUUAUCAGAUGAGUCCGCGGUCCAUUAGCUAGUUGGUAGGGUAAUGGCCUACCAAGGCAACGAUGGAUAGCUGGUUUGAGAGAAUGAUCAGCCACACUGGAACUGAGACACGGUCCAGACUCCUACGGGAGGCAGCAGUGGGGAAUUUUGCGCAAUGGGGGAAACCCUGACGCAGCAACGCCGCGUGAGUGAUGAAGGUUUUCGGAUCGUAAAGCUCUGUCAAGAGGGAAGAAACCUCCAAUGGUUAAUAUCUGUUGGAAUUGACGGUACCUCUAGAGGAAGCACCGGCUAACUCCGUGCCAGCAGCCGCGGUAAUACGGAGGGUGCAAGCGUUGUUCGGAAUUAUUGGGCGUAAAGCGCGUGUAGGCGGUUUGUUAAGUCUGAUGUGAAAGCCCCGGGCUCAACCUGGGAAGUGCAUUGGAAACUGGCAAACUUGAGUACGGGAGAGGGAAGUGGAAUUUCGAGUGUAGGGGGUGAAAUCCGUAGAUAUUCGAAGGAACACCAGUGGCGAAGGCGGCUUCCUGGACCGAUACUGACGCUGAGACGCGAAAGCGUGGGGAGCAAACAGGAUUAGAUACCCUGGUAGUCCACGCCGUAAACGAUGGGUACUAGGUGUUGCGGGUAUUGACCCCUGCAGUGCCGAAGCUAACGCAUUAAGUACCCCGCCUGGGGA
rnacentral:rRNA from 1 species